rnacentral:rRNA from 1 species
CCUACGGGUGGCAGCAGUGGGGAAUAUUGCACAAUGGGGGAAACCCUGAUGCAGCGACGCCGCGUGAGUGAAGAAGUAAUUCGUUAUGUAAAGCUCUAUCAGCAGGGAAGAAAAUGACGGUACCUGAGUAAGAAGCCCCGGCUAACUACGUUCCAGCAGCCGCGGUAAUACGUAGGGGGCAAGCGUUAUACGGAUUUACUGGGUGUAAAGGGGGCGUAGACGGCAGUGCAGGUCUGGAGUGAAAGGCUGGGGCUCAACCCCCGGACUGCUCUGGAAACUGUACGGCUGGAGUACAGGCGAGGUAAGUGGAAUUCGUGGUGUAGCGGUGAAAUGCGUAGAUAUUAGGAGGAACACCAGUGGCGAAGGCGGCUUACUGAACUGUAACUGACGUUGAGGCUCGAAAGCGUGGGGAGCAAACAGGAUUAGAUACCCCAGUAGUC